AGAGUUUGAUCCUGGCUCAGGAUGAACGCUGGCGGCGUGCCUCAUACAUGCAAGUCGGACGGAUUUAAUGGUAUAGCAAUAUAUUGUUAGAUUAGUGGCGAACGGGUGAGUAACACGUAGCUAACCUACCCUAAAGUCUGGGAUAACAUACCGAAAGGGAUGCUAAUACCGGAUAAGACAAGAUGUCGCAUGGCAUCAGGUUAAAAGAUGGCCUCUGUUUACAAGCCGCGCUUUUGGAUGGGGCUGCGGUCCAUUAGGUAGUUGGAGAGGUAAUGGCUCCCCAAGCCGACGAUGGAUAGCCGGGCUGAGAGGCUGGACGGCCACAAUGGAACUGAGACACGGUCCAUACUCCUACGGGAGGCAGCAGUAGGGAAUAUUCCGCAAUGGGCGAAAGCCUGACGGAGCGACGCCGCGUGAAUGAAGAAAUCUUUCGGGAUGUAAAGUUCAAUCGACCAGGGAAGAAUGGUUGAUAUAUUAAUAAUAUGUCAGCAGGGACGGUACCUGGAACGAAGCCACGGCUAAUUACGUGCCAGCAGCCGCGGUAAUACGUAAGUGGCAAGCGUUAUCCGGAAUCACUGGGUGUAAAGGGUGUGUAGGCGGUAAUUUAAGUUUCGCGUUUAAGAUCAGGGCUCAACCCCGACAUGGCGCGAAAUACUGAAUUGCUAGAGUGACGAAGAGGAAGUUGGAACUCCAGGUGAAGCGGUGAAAUGUGUAGAUAUCUGGGGGAACACCAAUGGCGAAGGCAGGCUUCUGGUCGUCAACUGACGCUGAGACACGAAAGCGUGGGGAGCAAACAGGAUUAGAUACCCUGGUAGUCC
rnacentral:rRNA from 1 species